AUGGUUGUACAAGCAUGUGCACAGCGUUCAUCACAAUCCAUUUUCAUUCUCUUUGAUAUUUUAUUUGAUCCUGUUUCACUCGUGCGUGAUCACAAUAUUAAAGGAAAGCUGGUAGAGCUAGGAAUUUCUGUGCAAUGCUAUAAUGCAUUUGUUGCACAAGCCAUGGGAAGUAUAUGAUGCAAAAGGGCAAAGAUUUACAACAUUUAAGGAAUACUGGGACAAGUGCUUAAACAUGGAAAGGGAACUUGUGACAUUUCUUCCUCUGUCGAAACUAUUGCAGGCAACAGGAAUGGUGGCAAAAUGUUCAAUCGAAGAAUUGGGUCUCGAAAAUUAAACAGAAAAAUCUAGCAGUACACUCUUAGGGCAUGGAGUCCAAGUUGGAGCCAAGCUGAUAAAGCUUUAACUGAGUUCUUCGACAGUCACCUACUAGACUAUGCAAAGAACAGGACAAAACUUGGGGGAAACUCAACAUCACUAUUGUCCCCAUAUCUUCACUUUGGAGAGUGUGAGGAAAGUUUUCCAGGUAGCUCGAAUGAAGCAGAUACUGUUUGCAAAAGAAGGGAAUCCUCUAGGUGAAGAGAAUGUGACUCUUUGUCUCCGGGCCAUUGGGCUUAGAGGAUACUCACGUUAUGUUUGUUUUAACUUUCCAUUCACUCAUGAGAAAUUACUGCUGAGCAACUUGAGAUUUGUUCCAUGGAAAGCCUACCAGGGACGUUUUAAGGCUUGGAGACAAGGUCAGACCGGCUACCCUUUAGUUGAUCCAGGAAUGAGAGAGCUUUGGCAAUUGGGUGGAUACACAACAGAAUAAGAGUUAUUGUUUCAAGUUUUGUUGUGAAGGUUUUGCUUCUUCCUUGAAUGAGGAAUGAAGUAUUUCUGGGAUACGCCUAUGGAUGCAGACUUGGAAACUGAUAUCCUUGGUUGGCAGUGUAUCUCAGGGAGCUUACUAGAUGGCCAUGAGCUUGAGCGUUUGGAUAGUCCAGAGGUCCAAGGUUCAAAAUUUAAUCCAGAGGGUGAAUAUGUUUGGCAUUGGCUUCCCGAGCUAGCACGUUUGCCAACUGAGUGGAUCCAUCAUCCCUGGGACAUGCCUGAUAAUGUGCUUAAAGUUUCUGGAGUAGAGCUAGAAGUCAGCUACCCAAGACCUAUCAUCGGGAUAGAUUUGGCUAGAGAACGUUUGACUGAAGAUAGUCAAGGUGUGGGAAAUGGAAGCAGCUGCGAAGGCUGCAAACCUGAAUGGUACAAAUGAAGUUGUUGACAACUCUGAUAGGAUCGAAAGCUUGCCGAUCCCAAAGGACAUCUUAAGGAACAACACUCGUUGUGCUACUUAUUCAUCUGAUGAUCAGAAAGUACCCUUCAUGUCACAAUUUUGAGGGAAAUCAAUUGAAGAAGAGAUCCAGAUGUACACAAGAACGGCCACUACCAGAUAAUGGGUAUAAUACUAAUCCUAAUGAAGUGACCUCGAGAACAAUUGAAGACAUGCGCUCUACAGCUGAAUCUUCAAUGUCUAAGAAUAAGACAACCAGCACAACUUCAUUUUCUGUUCCACAGUCAUGUUCAUCAUCAGAAGACAAUCAUUUUGUGGAGUCUGAAUCUUGUGAAAUGCAGCAAUCAUGGCAGAACGGAUUGAUAUGGAACAUAAUUCAAGCAAAGAAGGAGCCAUGGAAGAUGAAAGGUCAAAAUCAACUUACACUAGGGAGUCUGGAGUUUCACUAUUGAACAAGAGGAUUACAUAA